GACAGAGGGUGCAAACGUUGUUCGGAAUUACUGGGCGUAAAGCGCGUGUAGGCGGCCAUCUAAGUCGGGCGUGAAAUCCCACGGCUCAACCGUGGAAGUGCACUCGAAACUGGAUGGCUAGAGUCCUGGAGAGGAAGGUGGAAUGCUUGGUGUAGAGGUGAAAUUCGUAGAUAUCAAGCGGAACACCGGUGGCGAAGGCGGCCUUCUGGACAGUGACUGACGCUGAGACGCGAAGGCGUGGGGAGCAAACAGG
rnacentral:rRNA from 1 species